rnacentral:rRNA from 1 species
UACGGGGGGAGCAAGCGUUGUUCGGAUUUACUGGGCGUAAAGGGCGCGUAGGCGGUCGUGACAAGUCACUUGUGAAAUCUCCGGGCUUAACUCGGAACGGUCAAGUGAUACUGUCGGACUAGAGUACAGAAGGGGCAACUGGAAUUCUCGGUGUAGCGGUGAAAUGCGUAGAUAUCGAGAGGAACACCUGCGGCGAAGGCGGGUCUCUGGGCCGAUACUGACGCUGAGGAGCGAAAGCGUGGGGGAGCGAACAGG